rnacentral:lncRNA from 1 species
UCCAAAUGUUUUUCCUAUUCACAAAGUCACUAUCAUCCACUUAUCUUUCUAAAGGGUUGCUUAUGCAGAACAUGAAAAUUUAGCAACAGUAAAAAACUAAAGCUAUGCUAUUUUCGUGGUCGUUUUUGUUAUUGAUAUUCUUUUUGUUCCCGUUCCCUCUACAUUAAGCUUGUAGAGGUUUAUGAAGUUUUUUUUCCCUCCCCUUUUACCUACAAAAUUGAUUCUAUGGAGAGGAACCUGUGACUUCAAGAAGGGGACCCUUUUGGAAGGGAAGCACUGACUGAAGAAGACGUUCCCAUAGUCCUCCAGAAGAGACAAAGAACUCUGGAAACAAGUUUGCCCUCGCUAUCAGCUCACCCUGAACGGAUCCACAGAGUAAUUACGUGGUAUAGAACUAGAUGCCCUCGGCACAAAUUCAAUGUCAUAUAGAGCCCAGAAUGAGUACACUGUCCAUUCAGAUUUUCAGGAAAGGUAAAUUUACAACAGAAUGGAGCCCAUGAGGAAACAGCAAACCAUGUUCUUUAAUUGCCAAGGUAUUUUUUCCUUUUAAAUGAAGACAGAGAAAGCCAUGGUCUAGAGACCACCUAGGCCUUGAGAAAGACAGAGACAGAUAGAGAUAGUUAUUUUCUCACAUUUAAAUUUCUCUUAAGGUGUUUCUCUUAUUCCUGUAUCUCAUUUUUAUGCGAUUUCUCAUUAUCUUUUUACUUACUUUGGUCUGUUUUAACUUUUUUUCCUAAUUAAUGUUGCCUAUUUUUCAAAUGCAUUUCUAGCACUGUGCUUCGUUUGAACAAAAUAAAUAUUAUAUGAAGUGACCUUCAGAUUUUAUUAAAAAGAUAUGCUUCAAAUAACACUUACUUCCAUACACUUUGUCAUAUCUAAUUCAAUUUUCUUUUGCUGCUUUACACUUAGAAAUCCUCAGUAUCAAUGAUGAUAUCUCUUAGUCACUAACCAUAUAAAUUCGUGAAUAACAUAUCUGAAAUCUCAACAAACGACUAUGGUAUUUAUUUUUUCUUAAUCAUUAUGCAGAUGUAUAUGCCUUUUUGAGGGGAAAAAAAGGUAGAAGAAAG